rnacentral:rRNA from 1 species
CUACGGGGCGCACCAGUGGGGAAUAUUGGACAAUGGGGGAAACCCUGAUCCAGCAAUGCCGCGUGUGUGAAGAAGGCCUGCGGGUUGUAAAGCACUUUCGGUUGGGAGGACUGCUUCUAGCACUAAUAUUGUUGGAAGUUGACGUUACCUUCAGAAGAAGCACUGGCGUAACUCCGUGCGCAGCAGCCGCGGUAAUACUGAGGGUGCAAGCUUUAAUCGGAAUUACUGGGCGUAAAGCGCGCGUAGGCGGCUAGAUCAGUCGGGUGUGAAAGCCCCGGGCUUAACCUGGGAACUGCAUCCGAUACUGUCUAGCUUGAGUACAGGAGAGGAGAGUGGAAUUCCACAUGUAGCGGUGACAUGCGUAGAUAUGUGGAGGAACACCAAUGGCGAAGGCAGCUCUCUGGCCUGAUACUGACGCUGAGGUGCGAAAGCGUGGGGAGCAAACAGGAUUAGAUACCCCCGUAGUC